rnacentral:misc_RNA from 1 species
GAUGAAGAACGUAGCGAAAUGCGAUAAGUAAUGUGAAUUGCAGAAUUCAGUGAAUCAUCGAAUCUUUGAACGCACAUUGCGCCCCUUGGUAUUCCGAGGGGCAUGCCUGUUCGAGCGUCAUUACACCACUCAAGCUAUGCUUGGUAUUGGGCGUCGUCCUUAGUUGGGCGCGCCUUAAAGACCUCGGCGAGGCCACUCCGGCUUUAGGCGUAGUAGAAUUUAUUCGAACGUCUGUCAAAGGAGAGGAACUCUGCCGACUGAAACCUUUAUUUUUCUAGGUUGACCUCGGAUCGGGUAGGGAUACCCGCUGAACUUAAGCAUAUCAAUAAGCGGAGGA